UAAUUAGUUGUUACUGUCCUACUUAUAGU
rnacentral:piRNA from 1 species